rnacentral:tRNA from 1 species
CGGAGUAUAGCACAGUCUGGUAGUGCGCUGCGUUUGGGACGCAGAGGUCUAAGGUUCGAAUCCUUAUACUCCGACCA